GCUAAGGGAAAGUUUGAGAUCAAAUAGAGUCAAUAGGGCCAUAUAAUCACUUAUUCAAGUUGCAGAGUCCAAGAUGAUGACUUCUACAAGCCAAAGACCAAGUUUCAUGUUGGGUAUAUGGGAGAAGGAACAAGUUGGAAUGCACUGGAAUCAAGGACUCAAACUUGGAGGUAAGAUGAACUACUAUGCAACCACAUAGCACAAGCAUGGGUCUAACCACAUGUCCCAAUACUAAGAAGCAAAAUUGGCAUCUUGGAUGAACUAUGCGACCACAUGCCCAUACACUAUGUAGCCGCAUAGAACAAAUUUGGUGCUGAAUUUUCCAAUUUUUGGAAAGAAACAUAGUUUAGUUAAAACUUUUUCUUAUGGUAUCUUUUGACAUGCUUAGACUUAAAUUCUAUUUUAAUUAGGGUUUUAUGAGUUACCUAUAAUAGGACUUAUUCAUUUUAUUGCAAAAAACACACAAUUGAGAUAUUAUUGCGAGACAAUAUUAUUACCCUUGAGCAUAAUUUAGAACGUAUUAACGUGUGUUUGGAUGUUGUUUUGUACGAUGGUUGAAAUGGUGAAAGAUGUAAAAAAGAAGAAGAAACGAAAAAGAAGAGAAGUAGGAUAUCCAACAGAAACUAGGGUGCCACGACUGCAGCUCUUGGGUGCUACAACCUCCAGUCGAAGCAGAACAAAAGAUAAGGGGCCUUAGUGCCACACAUCGAUGCUAUAUUGUCCGGAUGAAAGCUUCAGAUUUAGAGUUUUUCAAAAAUUUUGAAGUUUUUUCCUGUCCAACUUGUCCUAAAUCAUUCCAAGGACUUCAAAAUACUAUAAAUACAGACCUAAAGACCAUAAUUAAGGAUGAGAAUUCAACUGAGCAAGAAGAGGGCAAGAUUCAAAAAAUCCAGAGGCAAAAGUAACUUGGCG
rnacentral:lncRNA from 1 species